rnacentral:rRNA from 1 species
UACGUAGGGUGCAAGCGUUAAUCGGAAUUACUGGGCGUAAAGCGUGCGCAGGCGGUUUUGUAAGUCUGACGUGAAAUCCCACGGCUCAACCGUGGAAGUGCAUGGGAAACUGCAGAGCUUGAGUACUUAAGAGGAUCGCGGAAUUCCCGGUGUAGAGGUGAAAUUCGUAGAUAUCGGGAGGAACACCAGUGGCGAAGGCGAGUCUCUGGGAUGAUGCUGACGCUGAGGCGCGAAAGCCAGGGGAGCAAACGGG